AAACCUUUUCUUAGACUUAUUCAUACCUCCUGUUCUGUCCUAUUUCGUUCUCUCGUUUUCCCACUUCUGGAUUACUUAUCAGUGUUGAUGCGCCUAUUGCAACGUAUUCUUGUGCAGUCCCAGGCCAGCAGCCCUUGCCAACAUGCAGCACGCAAACAGAAGAACCAUUGCAAGAGUUCCGGGCCGCAAAUAUUGGUAAUCAUUUGAUGUACUUGCACAUAUUUACUCGAAUUUAGCGUGACAACGAUUGUGCGGCACUCAACCGUGGUGCACCGCGAAUAUGAACACGAUGGUGGCGAAUAUGUGAGUAAAAAGCGGCGCGCAUCCUGGCAAAGUAUGACAAGAGCUUUCAGCCGCUUUUAUUGUUUCUUUUGCUUCCGCGACGAGAGUACGCCCUGCAUAAAACGGGAGCAACAGCAAGUAACAACGUGCAAUUUCUACUUCAACGGAAUCUCUGUGCUGCCGUCAGCAAACAGCUUUAUCAGGCGUAAGAUAAUCGGAAGCCCGCGCUAUGCUGUUAAACGCUCGCUUCGGACGCAGGUGAUUGUACAUCACAGGCCGCCAUUGGGUGUGUCGCGCUGUUCUUGAGAUCGACAUUCACGCGCAGUUUUAGCGUAUGCCGCCCCACAGUUUCCCGCACAGUAUAAUCAUAACUAUUGGAGAGCGAACCCUGUUCCCACCACCAUAAUUCGGAUAAUUCUUGUGGUCCCGCGAAAUCUGAAUUUUUCUGUUAUUCGUAUUUAACGCAGGGGAUGGCUUCAAGCAACAAAAAUUUUCAAGAACAAAAAAAAAAACGCUUGUUGCAAUUGAGUAAAUGCGACACCUCUGCCCAUAUAUUUCCCGUGAAGUUAGUCUUAGCCCAGAGACAGUUAUGACACGUGGCCAUAGUGAAACUGCUUUCAAUGCCGCAUUCAAAUCAAAAGGCAUUAGAAUUAGUUUUACAUGCUACGGUACUUCACGGAGCGUAACAUCUCAGAAAGUAAUAAAUCAGUCUGAUUUCUUUUCUCUGCAGAUGGGGAGGAGGAUCAUCCGGUAUGCGAUAUUUCAAACGUGCGGACGUCGUCUCCAAUCGCAAGUGAUGCAGCCCGUCUCACGGAUGGGCUUGAAGCAGCUCGCCGAUCUAAAGACCCACAGCCGAGUAACACGCCUUCUGCCAGCGAGCGAGUUGUCGACCAAGCUGAAACUUCGGACGUCGGCGCAGAUAGAAAAACUCUGGCAAGCCUUCACUGGUCAGUAGACAACAAGCUGCCCGAGUUUUCUGCUUUCGUUCAGCCACUGCUCAAUGGAAUGGAAAUUACGGAAGAACACCUCAAACAGUCGAAACAACUUCGCCAUGAGCUGAUCCAUUUUCUCGAGUAAGUAAUACACUAAGGCAUGGCUGUUUGUUUCUCAAGUAUUACUUGAAAAGGAAGUCUAUGAAAGCGGCAAGUACUGGCUUGCGUUUCUAUAUGUAAUGGUAUUAUCUAUACUUUUACGGUUAAAACUAAACGCGUCAUCGCUGCAGUUACAUGUAACCUGUUUCGAGCUUGGCAAAAUUCUUCCACAGAAUUAAUAAAGCCGAAAGUAUUACCUUCUCACUUUGUUUCAGUGAAAACAAUGCAAUUCAGGACAAAAAUACUGCCCUACGUCGAUGGAAGUACUUUGCGUUAGGAGAGACACUCGCAAAUAUGUAUCCCAACAUGCUUUGGGAAAAAUCGCGGAAGGACGUAAGAGGACGUACAAAAGGACCAAAGGCUGUAUUUCUGUCGCGGCUUGCGGAGGCAAGACGGCACAGGGCACAACGACGAGAAGCAAGUGAAGCUUCCAAGAAGGCUCCACUCCAGGCCGCAGCUCUGUCCUUAGAGCCCCAGUUAAUCGACUCCGAAUCUGCGUCGAUAGAACUGGAAUUGGGAAGGCUUCAGGUCCAACAGGACCUUUUAACAAAGAAAGAAUGGUGGUGCUGUUGCACAGCACUAUCAAGAUGCGCAAGGCCAACCCACCCGCUCGGCUGCCAAGCUUUUUUUUGAACGAAGAAAUUCUUGGCAUCGAAGCAGAGAUAAGGUUUAACCAGAAGAUAGUCGAAAUCGUGAACGGACUGAACAAAGUUAAAGAGCUCGUUACAAAACUGUACAGUCGUGAUAUGGACUUCGCCAGCAUUGAUGAGGAGCUGAGAGGGAGACACGCGAAACACUCGCUGAUUGCUUCAGGUCGUACUUCAGACGAGAACGGGCCCGGACCAAGGAUUCUGUGGACUGAGUCUUCAAAGAGCAUCUAUUGUACAGAGGGCGAAGUUGUCAUCUUGCGCAAAGAAAGCAAGCUUGAAGAAGCAAUGACGCUCUGCCUCGCUGUAUAUUAUAUUAAGGACCUCGCAUAUCCAAGCGCUUUCGCCCAAGCUUUAGGCCUCGUGCAAAGUGCGCUGAGCAACGUUGAAGAGUUCCCGCGGUGCUGGAUGAGCAGCAAGCUUAUAAACAUUGUAACAAAGAUGAAGAAGUUACAUUACACCUGCUGACAAAAAUU